AUGACUUUGAUCUGCGUCCUCAUCUGGACUCUCCUCUGCUGCUGCUUCACAGAAUCAAGAGGUCAGGACACAGUGACUCAACCUGCAGCAGUAAGAGCCCGUCUGGGAGGAUCUGUCAGCAUCAACUGUAAGCCCAGUCAGAGUGUCUAUAACUCUAAUCGUUUAGUCUGGUAUCAACAGAAAGAUGCACAAACUCCCAAGCUGCUCAAUUAUGGUCCUAGCUCUCGAGCACCAGGGACUCCUUUUCGGUUUAAAGGCAGUGGAUCAAAGUCUGACUCUACUCUGACUAUCAGUGAGAUUCUAGCUGAAGAUGAUGCAGUUUAUUAUUGUACUGCAGAGUUUUCUGUGUUUGUAUCACUGUGGUGGACUUUUGGUGGAGGAACCAGACUGGAGGUUGGAAGUGAUGCUCGUCCCACCCUGACAGUGCUGCCCCCCUCCAGUGAGGAGCUGCAGCAGGGGAAGGCCACCCUCAUGUGUCUGGCCAACAAGGGCUUCCCCUCAGACUGGAGUCUGUCCUGGAAGGUGGAGGGCAGCAUUAACACCUUCGCCUGGGAGGAGAACAAGAGCCAAGGAGUGCUGCAGAAGGACGGCCUCUACAGCUGGAGCAGCACCCUGAGGCUCCCUGCAGACCAGUGGAGGAAGGUGGGCUCUGUGACCUGUGAGGCCACCCAGGGCUCCCAGUCUGCAGUCACAGAGACACUGAGGAGAGACCAGUGUUCCCAGUCCUGAGCUGAUUCUUGAAUUAUCUAAAUUUUUACUCUGCUACAGAUCAUUUGCUUUAAUAAAUUGCAGUUGGACUUCAU